CUAACACGUGUACAGCUGAAAAAGAACCAUAUACUGUCUUCCACAAACAUAAUCUCUCUCCUCCAACUCUCAAAGCUAACUCCGAUUUCCGUUGUUUAUCCAAAAGCUCUUCCCGCAAAUUAGGGAGUGGAAGAUUUGGAUUGAUGGGUAGAACUCCAUUGGAUACUAUUAUACUCUAAGGUACUCAUCUGAUGCUUUAAAUACUGUUAGAUGCCAAGAAUUAUGUAAGAAGAAUACGGGAUCUGAGUCGAUGAAACAUAGAGGUAGAGCAGGGAUGGCUACUAUGCUGGCAGACAAUGCUUGAGUAUAAUUUCGUUUCUUCCGUUUGUUUAACUAAUGUAAUGUUAGAAAAUUUAGUUAUUGGAGGAUUUUAUUGUUUUGAUUUAAGGAAGGGGAUUUGAGUAUAGGGAUGCGUGCAUCAAACACUGAGAAAUUUGUUAGGUGUGAUAAGUCUAUAGUUUAGAAAAUGGAAAGGAAAUAUCAUUUCUUUUGUUAAUUCUUUUUUAAAGGAACCCCAAAAUCAUUAGAUUUUAAUCCAAGUGGAUAGGGUUACAAGAACAACUGAUGAGCAUCUGGUCCUGAACUUCAUUUUAGUUUUGCAGGUAUCCAUAUAUUCUGUGUGCAAGCAUUUGCAUACCCGUGACUAGAGAGGCUUGUAUUGAAAAUCCUUUGGAAUGGAGAUUGCUACUGCAAGGUAGGCUUUCGUGAC